UACAGAGGGGGCAAGCGUUGUUCGGAAUUACUGGGCGUAAAGGGCGCGUAGGCGGCCUUCUAAGUCGAACGUGAAAUCCCCGGGCUCAACCCGGGAACUGCGUCUGAUACUGGUAUGGCUUGAGUGCAGGAGAGGAACGCGGAAUUCCAGGUGUAGCGGUGAAAUGCGUAGAUAUCUGGAGGAACACCGGUGGCGAAGGCGGCGUUCUGGACUGCAACUGACACUGAGGAACGAAAGCCAGGGGAGCAAACGGG
rnacentral:rRNA from 1 species